CCUCAAAGGCCCACUGUUUCUGAUCUCUGAAGCUUUCUGGCACAAACCGAUUGAUAAAAAGUUCCACAAACUGAGCCCAUGUCAAACCCUCCAUCCGGGGUAACACGUAGUCAUUCAUCCAUUAUCUAGGCAUAGGCCCCAUGACAUGUUGCAUACAUUCUAUAAGUCUUCUAUCAGUGAACUGCAAUUAUGUUCCUGCCUGUCUGCAGGAAUCUAAAAACCGAUAUGCAUCGUCUGAC
rnacentral:misc_RNA from 1 species